CUUUGAGAUUAGAACGUCUUCAAACUGGCGGCAUCCAAGUGAAUAGGAAUUGCGACAAUAUGCGCUGUGCGACUAGAAGAAGCAGGCGUUCGCGCUUCUGAUUGGCCCGCCUUAGAAUCUCUCCAAAUUCACUGAGUUAGAAGCAGUCUAAAUGCCAGCAGCACCUUCGGCACACCGGCGCGGAUCUCUGAAGCGGCUCUGGCGCAACAUUCAUCUGUGGCUCGGCAUCG
rnacentral:misc_RNA from 1 species